CCCUAGUAACUGCGAGUGAAGCGGGAAAAGCUCAAAUUUAAAAUCUGGCAGUCCUUGUGGCUGUCCGAGUUGUAAUCUAGAGAAGUGUUAUCCGCGCUGGACCGUGUACAAGUCUCCUGGAAUGGAGCGUCAUAGAGGGUGAGAAUCCCGUCUUUGACACGGACUGCCAGGGCUUUGUGAUGCGCUCUCAAAGAGUCGAGUUGUUUGGGAAUGCAGCUCAAAAUGGGUGGUAAAUUCCAUCUAAAGCUAAAUAUUGGCGAGAGACCGAUAGCGAACAAGUACCGUGAGGGAAAGAUGAAAAGAACUUUGGAAAGAGAGUUAAACAGUACGUGAAAUUGUUGAAAGGGAAACGCUUGAAGUCAGUCGCAUUGGCUAGGGAUCAACCUUGCUUUUUUGCUGGGCGUAUUUUCUGGUUGAUGGGUCAGCAUCAAUUUUGACUGUUGGAUAAAGGUUAAGGAAAUGUGGCAUCUCCGGAUGUGUUAUAGUCCUUGAUUGUAUACAACAGUUGGGAUUGAGGAACUCAGCACGCCGCAAGGCUGGGUGUUUUACACUACAUACGUGCUUAGGAUGCUGGCAUAAUGGCUUUAAUCGACCCGUCUUGAAACACGGACCAAGGAGUCUAACAUGCCUGCGAGUAUUUGGGUGGAAAACCCGGAUGCGCAAUGAAAGUGAUAGUUGAGAUCCCUGUCGUGGGGAGCAUCGACGCCCGGACUUGAAGUUUACUGACGGUUCCGCGGUAGAGCAUGUAUGUUGGGACCCGAAAGAUGGUGAACUAUGCCUGAAUAGGGUGAAGCCAGAGGAAACUCUGGUGGAGGCUCGUAGCGAUUCUGACGUGCAAAUCGAUCGUCAAAUUUGGGUAUAGGGGCGAAAGACUAAUCGAACCAUCUAGUAGCUGGUUCCUGCC
rnacentral:rRNA from 1 species